UACGGAGGGUGCGAGCGUUGUCCGGAAUCACUGGGCGUAAAGGGUGCGUAGGCGGCGCGGUAAGUCGGGUGUGAAAUCUUGGAGCUUAACUCCGAAACUGCAUUCGAUACUGCCGUGCUUGAGGACUGGAGAGGAGACUGGAAUUUACGGUGUAGCGGUGAAAUGCGUAGAGAUCGGAAAGAACACCAACGGCGAAAGCACUCUGCUGGGCCGACACUGACACUGGAGAGACGAAAGCUAGGGGAGCGAAUGGG
rnacentral:rRNA from 1 species